UCCCUGGGUAUUGCCAUUAUUAACAAGUCAGUCCCUGUAUUUUCAGAAACCUAUUAAAACGUCCUUAUGUUUUCUCUCCGUCAACGAAAUAGUCCUUCUGUCUAUUUUUGCCGUUAAAAAUAUAGUAAAAGACUAAAUUGCCCCCAAUUAUUUUUCUCCUCCUCCUCCUUCCUUUUCUUCUUCAUCAAUUCUUCUUCCUUUUGCUUCUUCUUCUUCUGCUUCUUCUUCUUCUGCUUCUUCUCCU
rnacentral:lncRNA from 1 species